UGUGAGCUCGAUGAGUAGGGCGGGACACGUGGUAUCCUGUCUGAAUAUGGGGGGACCAUCCUCCAAGGCUAAAUACUCCUGACUGACCGAUAGUGAACCAGUACCGUGAGGGAAAGGCGAAAAGAACCCCGGCGAGGGGAGUGAAAAAGAACCUGAAACCGUGUACGUACAAGCAGUGGGAGCACGCUUAGGCGUGUGACUGCGUACCUUUUGUAUAAUGGGUCAGCGACUUAUAUUCUGUAGCAAGGUUAACCGAAUAGGGGAGCCGAAGGGAAACCGAGUCUUAACUGGGCGUUAAGUUGCAGGGUAUAGACCCGAAACCCGGUGAUCUAGCCAUGGGCAGGUUGAAGGUUGGGUAACACUAACUGGAGGACCGAACCGACUAAUGUUGAAAAAUUAGCGGAUGACUUGUGGCUGGGGGUGAAAGGCCAAUCAAACCGGGAGAUAGCUGGUUCUCCCCGAAAGCUAUUUAGGUAGCGCCUCGUGAAUUCAUCUCCGGGGGUAGAGCACUGUUUCGGCAAGGGGGUCAUCCCGACUUACCAACCCGAUGCAAACUGCGAAUACCGGAGAAUGUUAUCACGGGAGACACACGGCGGGUGCUAACGUCCGUCGUGAAGAGGGAAACAACCCAGACCGCCAGCUAAGGUCCCAAAGUCAUGGUUAAGUGGGAAACGAUGUGGGAAGGCCCAGACAGCCAGGAUGUUGGCUUAGAAGCAGCCAUCAUUUAAAGAAAGCGUAAUAGCUCACUGGUCGAGUCGGCCUGCGCGGAAGAUGUAACGGGGCUAAACCAUGCACCGAAGCUGCGGCAGCGACACUAUGUGUUGUUGGGUAGGGGAGCGUUCUGUAAGCCUGUGAAGGUGUGCUGUGAGGCAUGCUGGAGGUAUCAGAAGUGCGAAUGCUGACAUAAGUAACGAUAAAGCGGGUGAAAAGCCCGCUCGCCGGAAGACCAAGGGUUCCUGUCCAACGUUAAUCGGGGCAGGGUGAGUCGACCCCUAAGGCGAGGCCGAAAGGCGUAGUCGAUGGGAAACAGGUUAAUAUUCCUGUACUUGGUGUUACUGCGAAGGGGGGACGGAGAAGGCUAUGUUGGCCGGGCGACGGUUGUCCCGGUUUAAGCGUGUAGGCUGGUUUUCCAGGCAAAUCCGGAAAAUCAAGGCUGAGGCGUGAUGACGAGGCACUACGGUGCUGAAGCAACAAAUGCCCUGCUUCCAGGAAAAGCCUCUAAGCAUCAGGUAACAUCAAAUCGUACCCCAAACCGACACAGGUGGUCAGGUAGAGAAUACCAAGGCGCUUGAGAGAACUCGGGUGAAGGAACUAGGCAAAAUGGUGCCGUAACUUCGGGAGAAGGCACGCUGAUAUGUAGGUGAAGUCCCUCGCGGAUGGAGCUGAAAUCAGUCGAAGAUACCAGCUGGCUGCAACUGUUUAUUAAAAACACAGCACUGUGCAAACACGAAAGUGGACGUAUACGGUGUGACGCCUGCCCGGUGCCGGAAGGUUAAUUGAUGGGGUUAGCCGCAAGGCGAAGCUCUUGAUCGAAGCCCCGGUAAACGGCGGCCGUAACUAUAACGGUCCUAAGGUAGCGAAAUUCCUUGUCGGGUAAGUUCCGACCUGCACGAAUGGCGUAAUGAUGGCCAGGCUGUCUCCACCCGAGACUCAGUGAAAUUGAACUCGCUGUGAAGAUGCAGUGUACCCGCGGCAAGACGGAAAGACCCCGUGAACCUUUACUAUAGCUUGACACUGAACAUUGAGCCUUGAUGUGUAGGAUAGGUGGGAGGCUUUGAAGUGUGGACGCCAGUCUGCAUGGAGCCGACCUUGAAAUACCACCCUUUAAUGUUUGAUGUUCUAACGUUGACCCGUAAUCCGGGUUGCGGACAGUGUCUGGUGGGUAGUUUGACUGGGGCGGUCUCCUCCUAAAGAGUAACGGAGGAGCACGAAGGUUGGCUAAUCCUGGUCGGACAUCAGGAGGUUAGUGCAAUGGCAUAAGCCAGCUUGACUGCGAGCGUGACGGCGCGAGCAGGUGCGAAAGCAGGUCAUAGUGAUCCGGUGGUUCUGAAUGGAAGGGCCAUCGCUCAACGGAUAAAAGGUACUCCGGGGAUAACAGGCUGAUACCGCCCAAGAGUUCAUAUCGACGGCGGUGUUUGGCACCUCGAUGUCGGCUCAUCACAUCCUGGGGCUGAAGUAGGUCCCAAGGGUAUGGCUGUUCGCCAUUUAAAGUGGUACGCGAGCUGGGUUUAGAACGUCGUGAGACAGUUCGGUCCCUAUCUGCCGUGGGCGCUGGAGAACUGAGGGGGGCUGCUCCUAGUACGAGAGGACCGGAGUGGACGCAUCACUGGUGUUCGGGUUGUCAUGCCAAUGGCACUGCCCGGUAGCUAAAUGCGGAAGAGAUAAGUGCUGAAAGCAUCUAAGCACGAAACUUGCCCCGAGAUGAGUUCUCCCUGACUCCUUGAGAGUCCUGAAGGAACGUUGAAGACGACGACGUUGAUAGGCCGGGUGUGUAAGCGCAGCGAUGCGUUGAGCUAACCGGUACUAAUGAACCGUGAGGCUUAACCUU
rnacentral:rRNA from 1 species